GUCUCGUUGCCUCUAUCGGGGCUACGUCUGCCGGGGUGGAGAGAAGUUUCUCUUGUCUGAAAAGACUGAAAACGUAUGCAAGGAACACAAUCGGACAAGAUCGACUGAGGAGCUUGGCUAUCAUCGCACUUGAAAGAAGGAUUCUAAAAUCUCUUAGAGAGAAUCCACAGUGGUAUGAAAAGACCAUAGACAUCUUUGCAGCACAAACAAACAGGAGAAUGGACUUUACUUUUAAGUAGGCCUAAAUUAUUUUUCUAGGCCUAGGCUGUAUUUCAUUUUCUUUUGUACUUUUUUUUUAAUUGUUGAAGGGAAACAAAAAGCAGAGACAAGACCGUUUUUGCAAUCAACGUUACAGUUUUUUUUUAAUCUGGGGAUGGAUGGCUGAGUUGGACACGUUCUGGAUCCACACGACCUUAGAUGAAGCCAGCUGCAACCCGUAGAGUGGAGUCGUGGAGAGAGCCCCUCGCCCCUCAGCUAAACCAGAGUAAAUGAAGCCAGCACCAACCUGUGGAGUGGAGUCCAGGAGAGAGCAUGCCGCCCCUCAGCUAAACCAGAUCAGAUAAAGCCAACUGGAACCAUAUUUUUACAUAUUUUAUAUUAAAUAUAUUGAAUAAAACUACAUAUGAUAAAGAAAGUGUUAUCUUAUCUUUUUUAUAUGCUAAACUUGAUUAAAUUGGUGAUUACAUGUUGAAGCUGUAGAAGAAUGAAAAAUGUAAGCUAAACAAAAUUGUUUUUAACUACAUAAUUAAAAUUCCUGCCUUUUACACAUGUUCACUUGGCGUUUAUAUAACAUCCAAAUGUCAUUUCUCAGCUUAAUUAUCAGGCAGGCUCAUAGACUUACAGCAAUGUAAUUUCUUCAGGAAGGCACAAGGCUAAGCUCUGCACAAUGAAUUGCAUCAGCAAGAACUUUCUGACUGUAGCUUACACUCCAAAUAGUAUGCCUUUGGCCAGCACAAAGACAGAUAAGAGAACAGGGAACAUUCCA